UAGGUGGGUAAGGGGAAAGGGGUAUUUCUUUUAAUAAAGAUAAAAUAAAGAUAAGUAUUUCUUUUUUAAUAAAGAUAAGUAUUUCUUUUAAGGGGCAUAUUUGUCAAUUACUUAAAAAUAAUAGACCCCUUCCAAGAAUAAAAAUUAUAAUUUUAAGUUAACAGUUAUUCCACUAGGAAUACAUUAUUCCGUUGGACUAAACAAACCAAAUAACAUUUUUAUCAUUCCAAUGGAAUGAUUCAUUCCAUUCUCCCUCCUAUUCUAUCGAUCCAAACGUAGCAUAAGAGUUGGUGAACCGUAGCAUAGGUUGCAGAUAUGGAGCAAACAAAUUAAUUUAGUUUUGAGAUUAAAUCAAAAAGAGAUUCAUAACAAAGGGAAAUCCAAUACAAUUACAUAGCUCACCAAAAAAUUCAGAAUUCCAUCUCCACACAACACAGAAAACUAAAAAUCAAAAAAUCUUUAAAUCCUAGCUUUUUAAAUAAAACCCAAAACCAAAAUCAAUUAAAACAGAAAAUUCCCAAAUUUAGACCUACAAAAACCCAAAAUAAAAAUCACAUAAACCCAAAACUCAAAUCAAACAAAAAAUGCAAUAAUUUUCACAGAAAUCAAACACAAGACAAUUAAAAACAAACCCAAUUCAAGAAUUGUAUCAUUCUUCAUCAUAUUGAACGAAAUCCUAGAUUUCCCUCUAGAACAAGCAAUCAAUGCAAAACAAUCUGUCCAAUUGAAAGCCUUUGAAUAAGAGAAAAAGCUUUCUUGCUGGGAUCUGAGACUGAGGAAUUGAUUUGAGAUCUGAGACUUGAAUCAGAGAGAGUUCACACUUCAAGGGGUCUGAUCAGUGGUUCUCAGUGUUACUUCUUUGUUCCUGAUCAACAAGACUCUCAUCAUCAUUUUUCGAUUCCUCGACCGUUUCGUCCGAUUUCUCCGUCGUACACCUGCUGUUACUACCAAAAGAGAAAAGACGACGUCCUGCUCGAAAUGGGCAUGGCUAGG
rnacentral:lncRNA from 1 species